rnacentral:tRNA from 1 species
GCCGGGAUGGGGUAAUGGUCAUCCUGUGGCCCUGUGGAGGCCACGAUUCGAGUUCGACUCUCGGUCUCGGCC